UGCCCAGCCACUGGGCUGCUUUUGUGUGUGUGUGCGCUUGCUUUUCAUUUAUAACCUUGCCCUUACAGGGGAGUUUCCUGCUGCCCCUGACGUCUAAGGGAGUGUUAAUGUGACAAGGAAGGAUGUGCUGAUCUAUGGCAAAAGGAACUUCCGGUUAAGUGGCCAGCCAACGCAACCAUCAGUUAAUAGAGGACUGGGAAAUUGAAAUUGCAAAUCUGAUACUGAAUAUCGUUCUUUAGUCACGGGGAAUGUUUUCCAUUUUAAAAAGAUGUUUUUCUUUAAUAACAUUUUAAAGUAUGUUUUUGAGGUUUUGAUACAGAUGGCUAAAGCUCAAUGAGCCGUUCAACUUGUAGAAAAUAAUAGGAAGAAUUUCAAAAAGAAAUAAGCAAGUCGUUUCACCUCCUUUGUUUGAGGACAACAUUGCCUGCUCCAGAGGUUCCCAAGGUUACUUAAGUCAGGGCACCCUUUUAGGGCAUGGCAGCUUUUCUCGUGGCACCCCUUGGAUAAAAGUAAUACCUAACAGUUUUGUUUACUAAGUAAUAAUGCUCAGACAACUUAAUAAAUAUCCAUGUCCUCACAACCAGGUAUAAUAUACAAAAAUAACACACGUAAAUCAAACUAAAAGAAAAUAUUUCAUUUCAUCCUUAAAUAGCCAGGGCCACUGGCUCAUGAGUGAGCACACCUGCUGGUCACACACAAUUCCCCCGUCUCUGGAAUCGCUGGACACAGUCACCCUCAUUUCCUGGUCCACCUUGACUUUUGUUUGAUUCUCGUUUUUUUUGUAGCAGCUGAGGAAAACCCAGCUCCACAAAGAUAUGGCAUCGCCUACUAGUUUCCGGGAAUGUGAUUGUGUGUUCUGAAAGCAGAAACUGUCCUGUGGCACUCCUGGGAGUCCAUGGUCUCACCAGUGUUCCUUAGCACACAGUUGGGAACCACUGGAGCAAGUCCAGUUUCAAGUUUGCAGCUGCCCUCUCGGGGAAUGUACAGAUGAAACAUCAGCCACAGAAGGCUCCUCAUCCACUGUCAUGUGACUGUAAAAGAUUUGUGAAUCUGUAAGCAGCACUUAAUGGAAGGUAUCUCAAUGGCAACAGAAGUCAAGGAAAAUCCUUCACCUCUGCAUCCCUGCAAGGGCACGUGAUGCAAAUUAAUUUGCCAGAUCUUCCUUUUUGGGUGAAAAAGUCCAAGUAACAGUGGAAAGAGAAUUCUGCCUCUCUUGGCUAUGCUUUGCUCUGUCUGGCCCCGAACUGAAAAUUGAGCUCAGUUUCCUCAUUCUGAAGUGAUCUGGGGAUGGCGCCUUUGCCCAGCGUGCUCAGGUGUGGUAUCUGUCAGAUUUGAUCAUUAAACCCCCAACAGGGACUGCUGGACAAGACAGGAGGAUUGGGACUCAAGGUCGGGGAUUGAGCACACGGAGCCUUUCUUGUGCUGAUGACCGGUCAGACUUCAGCAUGGCCCAGUCAGCUGUGGCCAUUUCUGAGCCUGAUUGAUCCCUUUGGGAAAUGACCACACAUUAAAGGAAAUCGGAUUCAGUAUAAAGCCUGAUUUGUUGUUUCCGUGACUGGAAGGGACUUCCCAAAUGGGCCCCUGCAGGAUUACAGUAUUGGGAGCUGCAAUUAUUUGAGCUCUGUGGCUGAGUUUCCAUACAGAAAAAACAGACCAGAAAUCCUUCCCUGGGUUUUGUAAAAGUUGAUUCAGACAGAUGGGCCUGUCUAUUACAUUUUUGCUCUGGGAAAUAAUUAUAAUUAUUUAGAUGGCUUAAACCUUCAGGUUGCUAUGUAUUUCUUUAAAGUCCAUGUCCUUAAUUCUACUGUUUUUCUUACUGAUCAGAAUUCUUAGACCUUUUCCAUUUGGAAAACUCUUUCUCUAAUCCCCACACGCUCCACUAGUCUCACCAUAAAUGUUUCUGCCCCUUUCCUUCAAGCCAUGAAGGUUCACCAGGGUGAGAGAAACAGAAAUGGCAUCUCAAUGUAAGCCGGUAGGAAAUCCCUUCUAUAGAUUCAUCCUUUUAGGAUGGAUCUCAAUGUGAGAUGAGGAAUACAUUUCCAUGAAAUUUCGUUGAAUAGAUAAUCCACAACAUUGGUGGAGGUGGAGAGAGAAAAGAAAAUGUCUCCUUAAGUUAGACCCAAAGAGAACAGCCAAUUAUACACAGGUGGAUGCCCACUAACCUGUUAUUAAAAUAAAUUUUUAAGUUUUGAAUGAAUUUAGAUUUACAAAGAGGAUGCAAAGAUAGUACAGAGCGCUCUCGCAUAGAGAGCCCACACCCCAUUUCCCCUGUUGGCAACAUCUUAUGUUAUCAUCGUGCAUCGAGAAACCAGUGAUGCCACCUUGCUAUGGACCAUGCACUCUGCACGUCAUGUGGGUUUUGUCAGCUUCUCACAAAUGUCCUUUAUCUGUGUCACAGUCCCAUUCAGAAACCUCAUGUAUAGUCACCGUGUCUCCCUGGCCUCCUCUGGUCUGUGACGGUUUUCUAGAUGUUCUUUGCUUUUUAGUGACCUUGACAGUUUUGAGGAGAACAGGUCAGUAUUUUGUAGGAUGUCCCUCAAUCUGGGUUUGUCUGUUUUCUCACGAUUGAAGUGGGGUUCUGGGCUCUUGGAAAUAACACAAUAGAGGUGAAGUGCCCUUCUCUGGUACACAUGUUCAUGAAUCUUGGCUGUGCAUUUACCUAGCAGGGAAAUUGCUGUGAAAGUGGGUGUGUGUAUCUUUAACCUCUGUAGGUAGAGUCAAACAGUUUCCAAGGUGGUAGUCCAAUUUACAGGCCACCAGCAGUGUCUGAAAGCUUCUGUUUUCCUACAACCUCACCACAGGUGUGUCAUAGUUCAUUCAAGCUACUAUCACAAAGGAUCUUAGACUGGGUAAUUUAUAACCAUGGAAACAUUGCUCACAGUUCUGGAGGUUGGGAAGUCUAAAAUCAGGGCACCAGCAGGCCAUUUGGUGAGGGCUGCUCUCUGCUCCAUAGAUGGUGCCUCACUGCUGUGUCCUCACAUGGCAUGAGGGAUAAAGGACCAAACAGGCUCCCUCAAGCCCCUCCACUUCUUUUUUUGUUUGAGAUAGGGUCUCGCUCUGUUGCCCAAGCUGGAGUGCAGUGGCAUGAUCUUUGCUCACUGAAACCUCUGCCUCUUGGGUUCAAGUGAUUCUCCCGCCUCAGCCUCCUGAGUAGCUGGGAUUAUAGGCAUGUGGCACCAUACCUGGAUGAUUUUUGUACUUUUAGCAGAGACAGGGUUUCACCAUGUUGCCCAGGCUGGCCUCGAACUCCUGAGCUCAGGCAAUCCAUCCGCCUUGGCCUCCCAAAAUGCUGGGAUUGCAGGCGUGAGCCACUGUGCCUGGCCCUCAACCCUUAUAUAAGGACACUAAUCUCACUUACGAGGAUUCCACCCUCAUGACCUAGCCACCUUCCAAAGGCCCUACCUCCAGAUGCCGUCAAAUUGGUGGUUAGGAUUUCAACAAAUGAACUUGGUGGGAAAUACACAUUUGGACCACAGCAAUGUAUUACCGUCAUUCUUUUUAAUGUUAUCCAUUCUCUGUGUGUUGUAGAAUCUCAAAGUAAUCAUUUUCAUCUUAAUGAGGGUGAGAAUUUUUUUAUAUGCGAUUGGCAACUUUAAUACUCUCUUUGGCAAAGCACCUGUGAAGGUCUUUCCUGGUUUUCUAUGGGGUUGUCUGUUAUUUUCAUAUCUGUGGGAGUUCUUCGUAUCAUUGAGAUACAAUCUCUUUGUCAGUUAAAUAUCUUCUCCCACUCUAUGGCUUGGAUUUUUUGCUCAUUUAAGGCUUCUUAUAAAGGACAGAGUUCUUCAUUAAAAUGUCAUCCAAAAUUGCACUUUUUCAUUUAUGGUAGAGUUUUUUGUGUCUGCUUAAAGUGUCCUUCCCUACUCUGAGGUCAUGAAGGUAUUUUGCUGUGUUUUCUUACCAAAACAUUACUGUUUCACUUUUCACAUUUUGGUAAGCUGGUAUUGAUUUUUAUGUAUGGAGGCAAGUGGAGGUUAAAUCUUUCUUUCUCCCUCUUCUUUUCCUUCCUUCCUUCCUUCUCUUUCUUUCUCUCCUUUCUUCCCUCUUUCUCUUUUCUUUCACCUCAUAUAAAUACUUAAUUGUCCCAUCACAUGUAUUAGAAGUCCUGCCUUUCCCUGCACUCUGCGGGGCCACCUCUGUCACAACCCUGGAGGCCAUCCAUGCAGUGUGUUUCUGGAGUCUGUUCUGUUUCAGUGUUUUAUUUGUCUGCACUAUGGUCUGAACGUUUGUGUCCUCCCACAUUUCAUAUGCUGAAAUCUAAUUCCCAAUGUGAUAGAAUGAGGAGCUGGGGCCUUUGGGAGGGAGGAGUUCAUGGGGGCAGAUCCUCAGGAAUGAGAUUAGUGCCCUUGUAAAUGAGGCCCCAGAGAGCUCCCACAUCCCUUUUGCCAUGUGAGGUCACAGCAAAGAGAUGGCUUCCCUGAACCAGGAACCAGGCUUCACCAACACCAAAUCUGCUAGCACCUUGAUCUUCCACUUCCCAGUCCCCAGAACUGCGAUAAAUACAUUUCCGUGGUUAGAAGCCACCUGGUUUGUGGUGUUGUGUCAUAACAGCUAGGACAUGCUGAGACGGUCUUCCACCUCCACCACGGCAUCUCUGACCUUCAGCUCUGGGCAGUGCGACUGCCCAGCAGAGCAAGCUCCUGCCUGGAUCCUGCAAGGCUCUUCCAGGCCUUUGCAUUUUUGUAUAACUCACUUAAAAAAAUUUGGAGAACCACAGAAGUGAGAUGAUGCCCUUUUCAGAGCAACGUCAGGAACACAUGCUUCCCAGCGCCACACAGUUAAGGAGAUGUCUGACAGUCCUCUUUUCUGUACAGGUAAUAUUUUUUUUGCUUUUGUAAUUAGUAUUUAUUCUGAGAGGGAGAUACUUUGAUACUAUGUAAAUAUACUGUUACACAUCAUUCUUUAAUCCAUUAGUUUUAGCAUUUGUUGAUGAUUCUAAUCUGAGUUGAUUGUUAACAUGGUGGUUUUCAAAUGAUGAUUUUUCUAACCCCAUUGUUCCUACAUUUAUUCCUUGGUGUUAUGGGUUAAUUGUGUGUUCAUAACCUCUAGCACCCAAAUUCAUAACUCUUAGCACCUCAACAUGUGCCCUUAUUUGGAGUUUGGUCUUUACAGAGGUGAUCAAGAUAAAAUAAGGUUAUUAGGGUGGGCCCCAAUCCAACAAGACAGGGGUCCUUAUAAUAAGGGAAGAUUUAGGUGGAAAGACACACACAAGGAGGAUGAUAGGAAGGCCCAGGAGAAGGCAGCCAUCUACAAGCCAAGGAGAGAGGCUUGAACAGAUAAUCCCCCAGCCUCAGAAGGAGUCAACCCUACGGACACCUUGAUCUGGGACUUCCAGCCUCCAGAGCUGUGAGACAAUACGUUUUUGUUGUUGAAGCCACUGGGUUUGUGGUGUUUUUUACAGCAGCCCUAGGAAACAGUUCUCUAUGAUAAGGAAGAGUUCUUUGGCCCUCCCUUAUUGGUUUAGUUACUUUGAUCAGUGUGAACUUAGGGGACUUUGCUGCUUGCAUUGUCCUAGAUGAGGCAGGAGAGUCCCACACACUGGUGCCAUGUCCUCUGGACCUGCCUCAUCAUUGUUUUUGUCCAGGGUGUGACAGGCCCACUUUGUUCUCUCUCCAUGCCUGGCCUGAAGUCAGCCUCUUUCCCACAGAGUCCAGGUUCCUGAGAGUGAAGAAUGAUGUUCAAAAACCAAGAUCUGUGAGUCACGUAAGCUUUCUGAAACAGCUUGUCAUUUUUCACAAACAGAUCUGUUUGAAUUGUGGUGGGAUUUCAGUGACCUGUAGAAUACUUUAGGGAGUGUUGAUAGUUUUACAAAAACGAGGCUUCCUCUUGUUAAACUCUCCAUUUUAUGAGGUUUUCUUCAAUUUGUCACUCUUGUAGUUUAUGGUUUUCCAUCUAGAGAUACUGUGUGUCAAUCAGAUUUAUUCCUAACUUUUUGAUGUUCUUUCAAUACUAUUUUAACUUGUUUUAGCUCUUCUAAAACUGAUUUUCUUACUGUUUAUUAUUGAUAUAUGGAAAUAUAGUUGAUUUUUGCCUGUUGGUCUUAUGUCUAAUAAACCAAUUUACUGGUUCUGAUAAUUUAUUCGUAGAUUAUUUUGGAUGGUCUACACACGCAAUUAUAUUUCCUGAGAAAAUGGCAGUUUUAUUUCUUCCUUUUUGAUACUUAAACAUUUAGCAUCUUUUUCACACCUUUCUGCACUGGCAGGACAUUCAGAACAAGGCUGAAAAGAGAAAGAGAGAGAAGGCAUUCUUAUCUUCUCACAGUCUUCAAGGGAAAGCUCUCAGCAUUUCAUAAUUGAGUACGUUUGUGGUAGACUUUUUUUCUGUAAAUACUUAUUGUCAUAUUAUAAAAGUUUCUUUCCAUUUUAAGUUUACUAUGAGAUUUUCUAGAAAUCAUUAAUAAAUGUUGACUUUUAAUGAAGGCA